rnacentral:rRNA from 1 species
AUGGUGAAUAACCUGUUGAACAGCGAGGAUGUCCACUACAUGCUCGAGGCCCUGGAAGCCCUUGGACUCUCCGUGGAAGCAGAUAAAGUUGUCAAAAGAGCUGUGGUUGUUGGCUGCGGCGGCAGGUUCCCGGUUGAAAAGGACGCCAAAGAGGAAGUGAAGCUCUUCUUGGGUAAUGUUGGAACCGCAAUGCGGCCACUAACAACAGCUGUAGUUGCUGCUGGUGGAAAUGCAACGUUGGAAGAAAAGAAGAAUAUCCAGAGAAGAUCUUAG